UGGCCCAAAUCAGACCUGGUUGUUAACCAAAGUACUCAAACAGCUGACCUUAAUUAUCUCUUUAAUUGGGUUGAGUUAACUAGGGGGGGCAAUAACUUUUUCACACCUGAAGAUUGUAUGUUUGAUUACCUUGCACACCAAACAAAUGAAAGAAGCACCAAACUUUGGUGUCAUGUUUUUCUAUCAGACUCCCUCUAUAUACUACUACAACCCACAAAAAAAUCUGACCAAAUACAAUGUGAAAAAUGCAGAAAAUCAGACGGGGCAAAUACUUUUUCACGGCACUGUAGAUCAGAUUUCUGCAUCAUUUUUAAAUGCUGCAAUUGGAAAACAAAACAGGCAGUGCUGUGAAACGGCAGGUCCUGAAAUAUUCAGGCUCGGCCCUGAGGUAAAUGUUCCGGGUCCUGAACCGAAAUAUUCGGCAGUAGCGCAUAGGCUAUUUGUCUAGCCUUAACCCUUUGCGGUCCAUUUAUUAAUCGCGCGUCAGGCACGUCAGAUCUAAUUAAUUUUCACACGCGCAGUUAAUUUUAGACGCGCUGUUUAAAAGUAUUUUUUUCCACAGUCAAACAGGUUUAAAUGGCCCUGCAUAUCAACAAAGCACUCACUAGGCAUCUCCAGCCCCGCCCCACCCUUUCGUUUGUUAUAGCGUUCACCUAUGUAAGAAAUAAAUAAUAAUAAUAAUAAUAGUCGUACAUACCGAUCGAUCAUCUCCGGAUCACUCGUUUUAUCACCAAACUCCUCAAUAAUGCGAUCCAAGUCAUUAUUUUAUUACUAUAACAUCUCAAAAAAGCUCUGCAAAUGUCUGUGUUUUCUGUGAGCUGAUUCAGUCAGCCAACUUGUUUACUUACGACCACCCCGUUAUCUGAUACCGCAAAGGGUUAAUGUCUCUAAGGGGAAACGCCUUAGGGUAGCAUAAUCAUAAAUUACUAAAAUGUGCCAAUUUUCUGCCUGUGUUCUCUCCAAGGGUCCUACUAAGUCCAUCCCUAUUCUUAAAAAAGGUACCCCAAUAAUUGGCAACGGCUGCAAAGGAAAUCGUGCUACUCCCCUACUACUGGUUAGUUGGUACUGUGUGCAAGAGCUACAAUAAGCCUGUACAUCGGAACACAAGCCUGGCCAAUAAAAUUGACUAGCUAUUUGAUCCAGUGUCUUUGUAGUUCCCAAAUGCCCUGCCCAUGGUAUUGUAAGUGCUAUGCCUAACACCUUCUCCCUCAAACUGUUAGGCACAAUCAACUGUUCUUGACCCUUUAUUUCAGAUUUGCAAUACAACUCCCCGUAGUAACUUUACUGGGCUCUGAUGUACUACCUCUAUUUCACACACUCUCUCAAACAGGUUCAAAGACUCAUCCUUCUGUAACAAUCUAAGGUUACUAGGCAAGCUCCACUCCCCUCCUACUUUGGAUUCUGGCUCUGGUUCUUCCUCUUGGCUCAGUUUAGCUGUACCAUUCAUUUUCUCUCUUGGCCUCUGUCUCCUAUUUUUCCUACUCUUCCCUGGUUUAUCUUCCAAUUCAGAGUAAACAAAAGGCAUGGCCUCCAACAUAUUGUCUCCAGAUUGUACUUUAGCUUGGGUCCUAGUUAAUACCAGAUUCACCGGUCUGCAAGUCUGGACUAACUCAGGCAAAAUGGGUAAAUCCUGCCCUAAGAUAACUGGAUAGGGCAAAGUAUCCACUAAACACACCAACAUCAGAAAUGUCUGCCCCUGCACCUCUAAAUACACCUUGGCUGUAGGAUAAGAUUUUUCUUCCCCAUGAAUUCAUCUAAUCCUUAGCCCUGGACCAUUACUCUGCCAUUUCCUCUGCACAAGUCUUGACUGCACCAAAGUCUGUGUACUAACAGUAGCUAUCAAAGCUAACACAGGUUUGUUAUUUAACAUUACAGUGAUGGUCUGUUCCUUACCCUGGCUUCCCAUACACAUUUCCCUUGGUCUAGGCACAUAGCAUAAAUAAGCAAUGUUAUAAUAAUAAUAAUAAUAAUAAUAAUAAUAAUACAUUUUAUUUGGUGGAUGCCUUUCAGGACACUCAAAGACAUCUUACAUUAAAAGUAGGCCUACAUAAAAUCAAGUGCAAUACAUAAAAUCAUGUGCAUCAAUCAACAGUACAAUCUAAAAUCAAAGGAUCAGACAAAACAGAACAGAUAAAAAGAGGAGAGGGGAGUUGGGUAAAGGAUACAAAUCCAGUUUAGGGUAAGGGUUUAGGUUUAGGGGGGUAGGGUUGGGAAUAGGAUACAGACCCGGUUUAGGGUAAGGGUUUGGGUUGGGUGGCACAUAGGGAUACUGGGAAGGCACAGAAGGGGGGGUAGGACAGAGUCAGACAUAGACCAUAGACUAAAAGUCAUAGGUUUCCUGAAAGAGGUGUGUUUUCAGGAGGUUUUUGAAUGAAAUGACUGUGUCUGCAUGUUAUAUAUGUCAGGGGAGUGCAUUCCAGAGCCUGAGUGCCGAGCAGCUAAAGGCCCGGGCACUCAUGGUGGAGAGGCGGAAUGGGGGGGGUGACAAAUGUUAGUUUCCUUUAGGAGGCACUCUAGCUUGAUAUGACCUGGCUGACCACAGUUAUAACAUAUAUGUUUCCCUUUGUCCAUCCUCUCUGGUUUCCCUUUAAUACUUUCCCAGGAUAUUAAGACCACUUCAUUCCCUGACCCCUUCAGACUUACCUCUGGAGAAUGAUCUAGCACUUCGGUGGUACCGGAACUCUCUGGGUUUCCCUCGAGCAGCAACAAAGGCAUCCACCAACUCAGCAGCUUCCAGCGCAGUUCCAGGACUACGUUUGUUCACCCACACUUGUAUUUCAGGAAUGCACACUCCACCAGACCAAACUCCAGUGAGACAACACACCGGUUGGUACAUAAGGCAUCCUGGAAAAUCAAACAACCACAUCUGCCACAUAAUGUUGUGGUGAAAACACAACUUGAGACAUUAAAUAGCACAGAAGAAAGAGACACGCAGAUUUAUUGAAGCCAAAUCAAAUGUGAAAAAUGUUAAUCCCUGCCCAUAAGGCUGGAGAGGUGGGAACAGCAACGGCUGCCCCUGAGGCUGGAGAGGUGGGGACAGCAACGGCUGUACCUGAGGCUGGAGAGAUGGGGACAAAUUUGAAUAGUAGUGCUGAGGGCAGCUAUUAUUCAUGUUGUAUUGCUUUGUCCACUCUCUCUAGAAAGAUCAUGUAAGAAUCAUGCAGGUUUUUAGGCAGUCUGAUGCAUCGCUGCAUUACGCAUCAUUACAUUGAAACCAUUGCUCAUGUUUUUGCACCCAGGCAACAUAGUGACCAUAGCUGAUGGUUUUCCCUUUGUGGAACACAAUUGCCAGAGAUUAAAAUGUUUUCCUAUCAAUUACAACUAUGUCAUGCUUGAAAUUGGCAAGUGCUGUAUUAAUUGCAAUAUCAUAUCAUCCCCCAUAUUGUUUAUUAAUCAACUAAUAAACAAUAUAGGGGAUAAUUAAUUUCUUAAUAAGUUAAUAAACAAAAUUAAAACUCAAACUAAGUUUUUAUUUUAGACAAAUCUUGUUUUUCAUUUGAGGCAAAGAAAGCACUUGUAUGUCAUGCUUUUCUUUCAGUGAUUGAUUACAGAGAUAUUCUUUACAUGCAUGCAGCUGUAUCUAGUCUGAGGAUACUAGACUCUCUUUAUCAUGGAGCUCUUAGAUUUGUAACCAAUCUAGAUCUUUAACUCUUCAUUGUGAGCUGUACAGGCAAAUGGGGUGGACCUCACUUUCUUCACACAGACUGAAGCACUGGUAUAUCUUUGUAUAUAACAUUAUUCUGGGGAAACUUCCAUCUUAUCUUAGUGCUCUGGUAACCACCAGUACUAAUAUUUACCAACUUAGAUCCCAGUCAAUAUUACAUUUUUCAAAACUGCCCCUUGGUCAUGGAACAACAUUC